rnacentral:ncRNA from 3 species
CAUGAAGUUGUGAUUAGAACAAGUAAGCUGAUCCUGAUCAACAGAGAGCGUCUAUUGCUGAAAAGACGCGAUUAGCCAGCUGAACACACAUCUAUGAACUUGACGGCUGAACUAAGUAAGCUGUCACGCAUCCGUUGCGUUAUCACUGCUGCCAACUGCUGUUCGCAAUUGCUGACAGUUACUUGGCAGGUGAGGUUUAGGUCGCAAGAGCUAAACAAAAUUGAGGUGGUACCGCGGUCAAAAAUCGCCCUCGGA